rnacentral:rRNA from 1 species
AAGGCGAACCGGGAGAACUGAAACAUCUAAGUACCCCGAGGAAAAGAAAUCAACCGAGAUUCUGUGAGUAGCGGCGAGCGAAAGCGGAGUAGCCAGUAAGUGAUAGCAUGUGAUUUAGGAGAAUUAGCUGGGAAGCUAAGCGACACAGGGUGAUAGCCCCGUAUCUGAAAGAUUGCAUGUGGUACUAAGCUUACGAUAAGUAGGGCGGGACACGAGGAAUCCUGUUUGAAGAUGGGGGGACCAUCCUCCAAGGCUAAAUACUCCUGAUUGACCGAUAGUGAACCAGUACUGUGAAGGAAAGGCGAAAAGAACCCCGGUGAGGGGAGUGAAAUAGAACCUGAAACCCUGUACGUACAAGCAGUGGGAGCCCCAUCAUUAAGCCAAAGGCUCGAUGAUGAGUAGCGCACCUUUUGUUGGAAGUGCGGUUGACUUCACGCAGUGAAGUCUAACCCGAGAAAAUCAAACAGAGGGGGCUUAAUGAUGGGGUGACUGCGUACCUUUUGUAUAAUGGGUCAGCGACUUAUAUUUUGUAGCGAGGUUAACUGAAUAAGGGAGCCGAAGGGAAACCGAGUCUUAACUGGGCGGUUAGUUGCAAGGUAUAGACCCGAAACCCGGUGAUCUAGCCAUGGGCAGGUUGAAGGUUGGGUAACACUAACUGGAGGACCGAACCGACUAAUGUUGAAAAAUUAGCGGAUGA